rnacentral:rRNA from 1 species
UAAUGGGUCAGCGACUUAUAUUCAGUGGCAAGGUUAACCAUCUAGGGGAGCCGUAGGGAAACCGAGUCUUAACUGGGCGUUCAGUCUCUGGAUAUAGACCCGAAACCAGGUGAUCUAGCCAUGGGCAGGUUGAAGGUUGAGUAACAUCAACUGGAGGACCGAACCGACUAAUGUUGAAAAAUUAGCGGAUGACUUGUGGCUAGGGGUGAAAGGCCAAUCAAACCUGGAGAUAGCUGGUUCUCCCCGAAAGCUAUUUAGGUAGCGCCUCGGACGAAUACUACUGGGGGUAGAGCACUGUUAAGGCUAGGGGGUCAUCCCGACUUACCAACCCUUUGCAAACUCCGAAUACCAGUAAGUACUAUCCGGGAGACACACGGCGGGUGCUAACGUCCGUCGUGGAGAGGGAAACAACCCAGACCGCCAGCUAAGGUCCCAAAUUACUACUAAGUGGGAAACGAUGUGGGAAGGCUCAGACAGCCAGGAUGUUGGCUUAGAAGCAGCCAUCAUUUAAAGAAAGCGUAAUAGCUCACUGGUCGAGUCGGCCUGCGCGGAAGAUGUAACGGGGCUAAGUAGUAAACCGAAGCUGCGGCAAUAUACUUUUGUAUAUUGGGUAGGGGAGCGUUCUGUAAGCGGUUGAAGGUGUGUGGUAACGCAUGCUGGACGUAUCAGAAGUGCGAAUGCUGACAUGAGUAACGAUAAAGGGGGUGAAAAACCUCCUCGCCGGAAGACCAAGGGUUCCUGUCCAACGUUAAUCGGGGCAGGGUAAGUCGACCCCUAAGGCGAGGCCGAAAGGCGUAGUCGAUGGGAAACGGGUUAAUAUUCCCGUACUUCUUACAAUUGCGAUGGGGGGACGGAGAAGGCUAGGUGGGCCUGGCGACGGUUGUCCAGGUUCAAGUGCGUAGGCUUAAGAGUUAGGUAAAUCCGGCUCUUUCUAAGGCUGAGACACGACGUCGAGCACCUACGGGUGUGAAGUCAUUGAUGCCAUGCUUCCAGGAAAAGCCUCUAAGCUUCAGAUUGUAAGGAAUCGUACCCCAAACCGACACAGGUGGUCGGGUAGAGAAUACCAAGGCGCUUGAGAGAACUCGGGUGAAGGAACUAGGCAAAAUGGUACCGUAACUUCGGGAGAAGGUACGCUCUUGAUGGUGAAGUCCCUUGCGGAUGGAGCUGA